CCAGACAACUAGGAUGUUGGCUUAGAAGCAGCCAUCAUUUAAAGAGUGCGUAAUAGCUCACUAGUCGAGUGACACUGCGCCGAAAAUGUACCGGGGCUAAACAUAUUACCGAAGCUGUGGAUUGUCCUUUGGACAAUGGUAGGAGAGCGUUCUAAGGGCGUCGAAGCAUGAUCGCAAGGACAUGUGGAGCGCUUAGAAGUGAGAAUGCCGGUGUGAGUAGCGAAAGACGGGUGAGAAUCCCGUCCACCGAUUGACUAAGGUUUCCAGAGGAAGGCUCGUCCGCUCUGGGUUAGUCGGGUCCUAAGCUGAGGCCGACAGGCGUAGGCGAUGGAUAACAGGUUGAUAUUCCUGUACCACCUAGUAUCGUUUUAAUCGAUGGGGGGACGCAGUAGGAUAGGCGAAGCGUGCUGUUGGAGUGCACGUCCAAGCAGUAAGGCUGAGUGUUAGGCAAAUCCGGCACUCAUAAGGCUGAGCUGUGAUGGGGAGAGGAAAUUGUUUCCUCGAGUCGUUGAUUUCACACUGCCGAGAAAAGCCUCUAGAUAGAUAACAGGUGCCCGUACCGCAAACCGACACAGGUAGUCAAGAUGAGAAUUCUAAGGUGAGCGAGCGAACUCUCGUUAAGGAACUCGGCAAAAUGACCCCGUAACUUCGGGAGAAGGGGUGCUCUUUAGGGUUCACGCCCAGAAGAGCCGCAGUGAAUAGGCCCAAGCGACUGUUUAUCAAAAACACAGGUCUCUGCUAAACCGUAAGGUGAUGUAUAGGGGCUGACGCCUGCCCGGUGCUGGAAGGUUAAGAGGAGUGGUUAGCUUCUGCGAAGCUACGAAUCGAAGCCCCAGUAAACGGCGGCCGUAACUAUAACGGUCCUAAGGUAGCGAAAUUCCUUGUCGGGUAAGUUCCGACCCGCACGAAAGGCGUAACGAUUUGGGCACUGUCUCAACGAGAGACUCGGUGAAAUCAUAGUACCUGUGAAGAUGCAGGUUACCCGCGACAGGACGGAAAGACCCCGUGGAGCUUUACUGUAGCCUGAUAUUGAAAUUCGGCACAGCUUGUACAGGAUAGGUAGGAGCCUUUGAAACGUGAGCGCUAGCUUACGUGGAGGCGUUGGUGGGAUACUACCCUAGCUGUGUUGGCUUUCUAACCCGCACCACUUAUCGUGGUGGGAGACAGUGUCAGGCGGGCAGUUUGACUGGGGCGGUCGCCUCCUAAAAGGUAACGGAGGCGCUCAAAGGUUCCCUCAGAAUGGUUGGAAAUCAUUCAUAGAGUGUAAAGGCAUAAGGGAGCUUGACUGCGAGACCUACAAGUCGAGCAGGGUCGAAAGACGGACUUAGUGAUCCGGUGGUUCCGCAUGGAAGGGCCAUCGCUCAACGGAUAAAAGCUACCCCGGGGAUAACAGGCUUAUCUCCCCCAAGAGUUCACAUCGACGGGGAGGUUUGGCACCUCGAUGUCGGCUCAUCGCAUCCUGGGGCUGUAGUCGGUCCCAAGGGUUGGGCUGUUCGCCCAUUAAAGCGGUACGCUAGCUGGGUUCAGAACGUCGUGAGACAGUUCGGUCCCUAUCCGUCGUGGGCGUAGGAAAUUUGAGAGGAGCUGUCCUUAGUACGAGAGGACCGGGAUGGACAUACCUCUGGUGUACCAGUUGUCGUGCCAACGGCAUAGCUGGGUAGCUAUGUAUGGACGGGAUAAGUGCUGAAAGCAUCUAAGCAUGAAGCCCCCCUCAAGAUGAGAUUUCCCAACUUCGGUUAUAAGAUCCCUCGAAGAUGACGAGGUUAAUAGGUUCGAGGUGGAAGCGUGGUGACACGUGGAGCUGACGAAUACUAAUCGAUCGAAGACUUAAUCAAUUUUUAAA
rnacentral:rRNA from 1 species